rnacentral:ribozyme from 1 species
AGACCACUGCUCUUCAAAGACGCCAACAAAGAUAUCUGAAUCAAACACUCGCACUUGCGGGCGUCUCAUCUACAUC